UACGUAGGCAGCGAGCGUUGUUCGGAGUUACUGGGCGUAAAGAGUGUGUAGGCGGUGCUCUAAGUCUGUUGUGAAAUCUCCCGGCUUAACCGGGAGGGUGCGGCGGAAACUGGAGUGCUUGAGGGUGGGAGAGGUAAGCGGAAUUCCUGGUGUAGCGGUGAAAUGCGUAGAUAUCAGGAGGAACACCUGUGGUGUAGACAGCUUACUGGACCACUUCUGACGCUGAGACACGAAAGCGUGGGUAGCAAACAGG
rnacentral:rRNA from 1 species